GACGAACGCUGGCGGCGUGCCUAAUACAUGCAAGUCGAACGCAGGGGGGACGGGUGAGUAACACGUGGGUAACCUCCCAUCAGAGGGGAUAACACUUGGAAACAGGUGCUAAACCGAUACUGAUGGAUGGUCCCGCGGUGCAUUAGCUAGUUGGUGAGGUAACGGCUCACCAAGGCCACGAUGCAUAGCUGAGCGGAGGGGGUGAUCGGCAACAGUGGACCUGAGAAAGGGCCCAACCUCCUACGGGAGGCAGCAGUGGGGAAACUUCGGCAGUGGACGAAAGUCUGACCGAGCAACGCCGAGUGAGUGAAGAAGUUUUUCGGAUCGUAAAACUCUGUUGUUAGAGAAGCGGUAUCUAACCAGAAAGCCACGGCUAACUACGUGCCAGCACCGCGGUAAUUC
rnacentral:rRNA from 1 species